GGGUAAUCCUUGCAGGCCCUGGCAACUGUGAUCAGCAUGGGACGCGGUGACUCUAAACAGACAAGGUGGAAGAUUCGAGAGAAGGACCUUAUUGAAGCUAUGGAGACAUAAUUUUAUGUUCUUAAUAUUUUUAAAUGGCGUAACACCAACAGCCACCACAAAAGACAAAGUGUGCAGUGUAAGAUUUCAUGCAUAAGGUAAAAGGAAAGACCAUGUACCUUCUCCUGCCAAUGAAUCAUCUCUGUGGUGACCUAACCUGGCAAUGCCAUCCUCAGACACUCUGACCUUCCAUGUGGAAACAGAUUGUG